UACGAAGGGUGCAAGCGUUAAUCGGAAUUACUGGGCGUAAAGGGUGCGUAGGCGGUUGUUUAAGUCUGUCGUGAAAUCCCCGGGCUCAACCUGGGAAUGGCGAUGGAUACUGGGCAGCUAGAGUGUGUCAGAAGAUGGUGGAAUUCCCGGUGUAGCGGUGAAAUGCGUAGAGAUCGGGAGGAACAUCAGUGGCGAAGGCGGCCAUCUGGGACAACACUGACGCUGAAGCACGAAAGCGUGGGGAGCAAACAGG
rnacentral:rRNA from 1 species